CCUACGGGUGGCAGCAGUAAGGAAUAUUGGUCAAUGGACGCAAGUCUGAACCAGCCAUGCCGCGUGAAGGAUGAAGGUCCUCUGGAUUGUAAACUUCUUUUAUAGGGGGCGAAAAAAGGGAAUUCUUUCUCACUUGACAGUACCCUAUGAAUAAGCACCGGCUAACUCCGUGCCAGCAGCCGCGGUAAUACGGAGGGUGCAAGCGUUAUCCGGAUUCACUGGGUUUAAAGGGUGCGUAGGCGGAUAGGUAAGUCAGGGGUGAAAUCCUGGAGCUUAACUCCAGAACUGCCUUUGAUACUAUCUAUCUUGAAUAUGGUGGAGGUAAGCGGAAUAUGUCAUGUAGCGGUGAAAUGCAUAGAUAUGACAUAGAACACCUAUUGCGAAGGCAGCUUACUACGCCUAUAUUGACGCUGAGGCACGAAAGCGUGGGGAUCAAACAGGAUUAGAUACCCUAGUAGUC
rnacentral:rRNA from 1 species